rnacentral:rRNA from 1 species
UACGUAGGAGGCAAGCGUUGUCCGGAAUCACUGGGCGUAAAGCGCGUGUAGGCGGCCCACUAAGUCUGAUGUGAAAGCCCGGGGCUCACCCCCCGGAAGUGCAUUGGAAACUGGUGGACUCGAGUCCCGGAGAGGAGAGUGGAAUUCCGUGGUGUAGCGGUGAAAUGCGUAGAUAUCAGGAGGAACACCGGUGGCGAAGGCGGCUCUCUGGACGGUGACUGACGGCUGAGACGCGAAAGCGUGGGGAGCAAACAGG